CUGCCAUGUUGGCAGCAGCUCUGUGGAAAGGCCCAUGUGGCAAGGAAUUGAGAAAUCUUGCCAACCGCCCAUGAGAAACUGAGGCCUCAAGUCCACAGCCAGAUGUUUCUGGAUGAGAUUAGCAUUCAAAUUCGUGGACUCAUUAAAGUAGAUGGCCCUCUCCAAUAUGGGUGGGCAUCAUCCAAUCUGUUGAAGGCGUGAAGAGAACAAGAGAAGGAGGAAGGAAGAAUUCACCUUUUUUCUUGCUGCCCACCUGCUUGGGCUGGGACAUUGCAUCUCACCUUCUCCAGCCUUUGGAUGAGGAUUUACACCCUGGUUCUCAGGCCUUCAGGCUCUAACUGGAGCUACACUAUCAACUUUCCUGGGCCUCCAGAUUGCAGAUGGUGGAUCACGGUACUUUUUAGCCUCCAUCAUAAUAUGAGAAAAAAGAGGCACAGUGAAGCUAAAUAUAUUGGCUAAAGAUCACAAAGCUAAUAUCGCUCUUUUCUCUGAAAUUUGCCUGGGGCCGCAGCAUAAAUCUACAGUUACAACCAUGAAGAUAGAAGUUGCUCAUUAAUUCAGAGGGCAGGAACUUGUGAACAUAACUGUUAGAAGAUUAUCAAGGUUAUCUGUGCUCAAUGUGUGCAUCUCAGAUCAGCAGCAUCAGCAUCACCUGGGAGCUUGUUAGAGAUGGAGACUCUCAGGCUCCACGGCAGACUUCCUGAAUCAGAAGCUACAAUUUAACAGGAUCCUCGGGUGAUCUGAAAAUGCAAUAAAGUUUGGGAAGCACUGCUGUUGGUCAUUAGACAAUCUAAUGAACUAAGACUUUUGCCGAGCAUCUGAGUUGAAAUUUUUCAAGAUGAAAAGUUGCUAAAGAAAGAGAAAGGGAAGCGGUUUGCUCCAGUAUUCCUCUUUCCACCUUCCCACUGACUGGGAAGCAGCGGUUAGCAGAGCCACAGCCUUGGAUUAGAGAUAAGAGGGACGUGUUGAGGAAGGUGGAGUCUCC
rnacentral:lncRNA from 1 species